GGAGGGGAAUAACUCAGUGGUAGAGCUUCUGCCUUCCAUGCAGAAGGUCCUAAAUUCAAUCCCUGGCACCUCCA